rnacentral:rRNA from 1 species
GUCCCAAGGGUAUGGCUGUUCGCCAUUUAAAGUGGUACGCGAGCUGGGUUUAGAACGUCGUGAGACAGUUCGGUCCCUAUCUGCCGUGGGCGCUGGAGAAUUGAGGGGGGCUGCUCCUAGUACGAGAGGACCGGAGUGGACGCAUCACUGGUGUUCGGGUUGUCAUGCCAAUGGCACUGCCCGGUAGCUAAAUGCGGAAGAGAUAAGUGCUGAAAGCAUCUAAGCACGAAACUUGCCCCGAGAUGAGUUCUCCCUGAGACUUUAAGUCUCCUGAAGGAACGUUGAAGACGACGACGUUGAUAGGUCGGGUGUGUAAGCGCAGCGAUGCGUUGAGCUAACCGAUACUAAUGAACCGUGAGGCUUAACCUUACAACGCCGAAGGUGUUU